rnacentral:sRNA from 1 species
UAAAAAGCAGUAUUUCAUUUAUUCAGAAAUAGAUUUUGUUAGAGCAGAGAGAAUACAUUCCCCCACAUGACCAGCCCAGCUAGACUCAUUGCUGACCUAAAGGGACAGCUUUUAGAUGAAGGUUGUAGCUAAAUUUUCAUGGCCCAUUUAGUCCUUGGCCUCU